UUGUUUUUUAAGUUUUAUUAUUUGGUAUUGCAUAUCAGUAGAAGUUUUUAUCAUAGCUAUGAGUAAUAGAAUUAAAAUGGUUAAAUUGAAUUUGUUUUUUUUUUACGAAAUUAAUAAUAUUUUUAUUUAGUAUUGAUAUAACGUAUUUUUAUUUCUGUUUACUUGUUAUUUAUAGGUUAAGUUAUAUUAUUUUUUGUUUGUAAAUUUUUAAAUUUUUGUUGUUGUUUUAUAAAUGUUGUGUGUUUUACAUAGAUUUUUAUUUUUUUUUUUUUUUUUUUUUUUUUGAUUAAUUUUUUAAUUGAUUUAUGAUUUUUACUUUAGUAAUUUUUAUUGUUUUGAUAGGUUUGUUUUUGAAUUUAUGUUUUUGAACUGGUUUUGUUGCUAAAUGUUUAUUAAAAACUUAGGUUUUUAUGUAAAAUUGUCUUCUGCUCUAUGAGUUUUUAAAUGGCAGCCUUAGCGUGAUGGCAUAAAAGUAGCGUAAGUGAUUUGUUUUUUUAAUGGUUUCAAGUAUGAAUGAAGUUUUUAGCAGCUUUUUUAUUUACUUUUUGUUUGAAUUAUUUUUUUAAUUAAAAAUUAUUAGUUAAGGUAUUACAAAGAUAAGUCUUCGGAAAUUUUGUUUUGAAUUUUGAAAUUUUUAUUUUUAAUUUUUUCUUGGGGAUGGAUUUUAAGAAAGUUUUAUACUAUUGUUAUUAUUAAAAAUUACUCCGGAGUUAACAGGGUUGUAGACAUAUAAAUAGGUUUUUAUAUUAGUGUGCUGCGCUACAUCGAUGUUGUAUAUUUUUUUUGAUAAUGGAGAGGUUUUUUUUGUUUUGAGACUGUUCUUCUUGUAUAAAAAAUUGACUUGAUAUUAGUUUAGUUCGUCGUGAGACAGAGCGGUUUAUCUUGUGUAUUUUUGGUGCUUGGCGGUGUUAGUACGAAAGGAAUGCAAUGUGGGUUUAUAUUUAUGACUUUUUUAUUUUGAUGGAUUUUUU
rnacentral:rRNA from 1 species